rnacentral:misc_RNA from 1 species
GAUGAAGAACGCAGCGAAAUGCGAUACGUAAUGUGAAUUGCAGAAUUCAGUGAAUCAUCGAGUCUUUGAACGCACAUUGCGCCCGGCAGUACUCUGCCGGGCAUGCCUGUUCGAGCGUCAUUUCAACCCUCAAGCCCUGCUUGGUGUUGGGGUCCCACGGCCGCCGUGGGCCCUGAAAGGAAGUGGCGGGCUCGCUACAACUCCGAGCGUAGUAAUUCAUUAUCUCGCUUAGGGCGUUGGGCGGCGCUCCUGCCGUUAAAGAACCAUCUUUAACUCAAGGUUGACCUCGGAUCAGGUAGGAAUACCCGCUGAACUUAAGCAUAUCAAUAAGCGGAGGA